GAUGAACGCUAGCUACAGGCUUAACACAUGCAAGUCGAGGGACCGGCGCACGGGUGAGUAACACGUAUCCAACCUGCCCUUUACUCGGGGAUAGCCUUUCGAAAGAAAGAUUAAUACCCGAUGUAAAGGAUGGGGAUGCGUUCCAUUAGGUUGUUGGUGAGGUAACGGCUCACCAAGCCUUCGAUGGAUAGGGGUUCUGAGUGGAAGGUCCCCCACAUUGGAACUGAGACACUGUCCAAACUCCUACGGGAGGAAGCAGUGAGGAAUCUUGGUCAAUGGGCGUUAGCCUGACCCAGCCAAGUAGCGUGAAGGAUGAAGGCUUAUGGGUCGUAAACUUCUUUUAUAUAAGAAUAUGUAUUAUAUGAAUAAGGAUCGGCUAACUCCGUGCCAGCAGCCGCGGUAAUUC
rnacentral:rRNA from 1 species